UGAAAAACAGUUAACAGUCAGACUGCAUCUCAGCACUGUCAGGAUGGAUCUCCAUAACGGGUGACGAAUAGUUUUAUUUGGGGGAUAUAUUAGCUUUUACUGUUGGGGAGAAGUUUUAGAUUGGUUUGCCAGUUUUUAACCCAUCAAGUUGAGGCCAAUACAUAUACAUUCAUCAAAUGAUCAACUUCAUGUGUGACUUUGGGACUGAUUCAUACAACCACAUUUCCUUUCUCAACUCUAUAGCAGCUUUUUCACUGUAUUUGAAAAAAUAACCAAGAAGUAGAAGAUAAGGAGCCAGGAAUAUGUGCCCUCUGUCUUUGAGCUCUUUGCUCUCCUACUUUUAAGGCUUGCCGGGUUCUGAGAGAUGGUGGGUCUGAAAUGCUUUCUAAUGACAAUGUGUUAGCUGGCUGUUCUGGCUCUCCCAUGAUUUCCCAACUUUCCCCCUCAUCUGCCUCUGAGCUGCGGCCGCCCUCAAACCCCUGUUGUCAAUCUAUACUGUCUUCCUCUUCCUCCUCCCUGGAAGGGUCAGGAUGGAGAGGCGGUCUCCACCAUUCCUCCUCUGCCCAGUCCCUGAUACCCUCCAACAUUUUUCUGAUGAAAAUAGGGACGUCGUAAGGAAAAGCGGGAUCUUCCGGGAUCAAAUCAGAAACCGGGGUGGCUUCUGUAAAUCCGAGACUGUCCCUGGAAAACAGGGACACUUGGAGGGUCUGUAAGGAGAUUUCUCAGGUUGGUUUGAGGGUGUGUGUGCUGUGUCCCCUUGGUCUAGUGGUGGUGGCGCUCACCCUUCUUUUGACAGGAAAUGCUCUGUGGGGGGUGUGGCAUUUGCCCGUUCUUUUGGAAAUGCCUGUACAGGGGGAGAAAGGGUUAAUAGUAGACCAAUAGAAAAGCCAGAGGCGGAGCCUACCUGUUUUUAAAAGGCUUAGCCAGAGGUUUAGACAGUUGGGAAAAAGCAGUUGAAAGACAGAUGGAAAUAGAGAGACAGUUAGUGCAGUUGGUUCUUGUGUGAGGGGAGGUAGAAGAUUUAGAGACAGGGUAAAAUAAGACUAGGAGGGUAAAGGGUAACAGUGUUUUGAAUGCAUUUAAAGUUUAUUUGUGUUUGCAACAAACAACAAUCUUUGUUAUUAUCUUGAGAACCCAACUGAGACUAAGUUUUUUACCGGGGAGAACCUGGUUGGUGGCAGCGGAUUAGUAGUGUACAGGUUUAUAGUCCGUGAAAUGACCAGGGGCUCCGUAUGAACGCCACAGGGGGGAAUGACAAAAAAUGGGGGGGUUGAAGAGUGUGGCGAUCACACAGGGUCCCUGGACGUUUGACGAUCUAUUGAUCCCUGUGCCACCACUGUGAUUGCUUCCCCGCUGCCACCAACCCAUUUCUCUCGGGUACACACAGAGUCCAGACAGUUGUUAACAUUAAACCAAAUAAACAAGUUUAUUUUAUAAGCCUUAACAAGUUUAUGGUUUCAGAUAAUUUUUUUUGUCAGUUUCUUAAUCUUAGGUUCUUACCGGCCUAUACCUUCCUAGUAACUUCUAACUAAUUAUCCCAACUGUCUAUCUGACUCCUCAUAACAGAUUCUCUCUCUCACAUCAAACUAUCCCAACCCACAGACGUAUCCUCACUCUCCUUUCUCUAACACCCGACUGACUCUCAACAACUCUAACUCUAACGCCUCCCCUUGGGUUCCCACUAGCCAAUCACUUCACACUCAUUUAACCCUUUCCUUAUGACCCAGCAUGAUGUCACCUAGGAGGGCAAACGCCACAAGGAGGGUUAGCUGAGGCUGAGCAAAAGAUGUCCCUAAUUCCAUCUGAGAAAUGUUCGAGGGUAUGAUAUAUAGAGUGCUUUAAACAUAUAGUGUGGAUGCAAUUAUUGUAGAGGCUUGAUUACCUUCAGUUCAGCUCAGGGGAUGACCACGGCUUGCCACAUUCAUCUCCCAAGCUCUAGAGAACAUGCUUAAACCCCCAACCCCACCCCAUAAUGCAUAGACACUGACUCCAUGGGGCUGAGGACAGCUCUUUUUAAAAAAAAAAAAAAAUUAUUAUUUUUCCAAAAACUUAAACACUAAAAAGACAAUACAAUGCAAUACAUUAAAUUAACAAAACAAAACAAAAACAAUAACACAAAUCAAACAAUUUCAUUAUCCCAUCUUUCAUUCACUUAUUUCCAUGACCUCCUCACACCUCCCUUUUUGUAUUCCACUUCUGUUAAUUAUUUCAGCAAUUCCUGUCCAUCUUCCUCUGUUUUCUAUCCUAUAAUUAUCUUAACUCAUUCUAACCUUAUUUUUCCUUUAAUGCUCUAUUAAUCUAUCUGUACUUAAUUCCUUAUAACAUUUCUACUAAAGCCAUAUAACUUCAUUCCAACAUUUUUCUAACAUUCAUUCAUUUUACAGUAUUUCUGUAAAUAGUCUUUAAAUUUUUUCCAAUCUUCUUCCACCGACUCUUCUCCCUGGUCUCGGAUUCUGCCAGUCAUUUCCGCCAGUUCCAUAUAGUCCAUCAACUUCAUCUGCCAUUCUUCCAGAGUGGGUAAAUCUUGUGUCUUCCAAUACUUCGCGAUGAGUAUUCUUGCUGCUGUUGUUGCAUACAUAAAAAAAGUUCUAUCCUUCUUUGGCACCGAUUGGCCAACCAUGCCCAGGAGAAAGGCCUCUGGUUUCUUCAGAAAGGUAUAUUUAAAUACCUUUUUCAUUUCGUUAUAGAUCGGGCUGAGGACAGCUCAGCCCCCUACCCAAGUAUGUGGGGACAGGGCUGAGCCCCCCCAGUGCUGAGGGACCCGGCCUCAUUGGGCCUCCUCAUAGUGGUGGAGGGCCUUGCAGCAUACUCCUGAUGCCUGAGAUGUCACACAUGCGUGUUGCAUGUGUGACGUCAUGCACAUGCGAUGAGGCCUCCCCAAUAUCAGGCAGAACUUGGUACCCCUGCUUGAAAGCAUAGAACCUCCGGGACUGCGCUAGUCCUGAGGGUUAACCAUGCGGCAAGGUCCAAGUCCAGUCCAAGGUCAAGGGUGUGGUAUGGAGGCUGUCCGUCAAAGCUGAAACUGGGUCCAAGGCAGGGAGCCAGGUGAGGUCAGGAACUCUGGCAGAAGAGCAGGACAGGGUGCAGGCAGGAACAGGCUACCAACAAUGUUGCUCCCGCAAACUGGGACUGGGGCUGGCUGGCUUUUAUCUGCCCCGAGGCAUAGGGCGGCCCCAGUCCACAGGUGUCUCGCCUCUCCUGGCCCGGAGGCGAGCACACCUCCCGCAGGAACUUAGUUCCCUCCGCCUCUCUGCCCUGAGCCUCUGCAGCUCAGGAGAGACUGGAGGGUUACCAGACCCAGAGGCAACCUCAGCGUCCCCUGACGGGGCUGAAAGUGGAGCACCUGCAGGCAAUGGGUCCUCCAUCACCUCCGGAGCGAGAGCAGACUCAGCUGAUGCCUGCACCUGAGGAUCCAGCACAGGUGAAGACCCUUCAGGCUCAAGCCCCAGCCCCGGCUCAGCUGGUUCUGGAGGCGGGGACUCCUGUGCAGGCUGGGAUUCCUCAGGUUCAGCCUCAGAGUCCGAAUCCCAGGCCAUCACAGGAACUAAUCGAAAUGGGUAAUUUCACAACACCCCUUUUAGCUCCACCAAAGGCUGAUGGCCAGAUACUGUUGCAGCUCCUCUACUUGGGAGUCGGGGGUCGAGUAUCCAGGUCAAACAAGGAAGCUGCUGUGGGGUUUCUCACAGAACCUGGAAGUGAUGGGAAAGGAGAGAGGGAAUCUCCUUCUCUUUGUCCUGUACUAUGUCUCUGUGAAUUUCUUGACCGGGUAUUCACUCGUAAUCAAAUAAGCAAACCAAAGUGGUAAUCGGAGCAGCCGGUCUAGUGGCAAAACUGCGAGGAAGAAAAUCAGCUGUGUUAUGGAGAGGUGCCCCGAAGCACAUUUUUCGCUGGCCUCUAGGCCAGCCGAGUAAUAAAUCUGGUCAUUCCCAGCUGCAUGUGGGCACCUGUUUAAUUAUCUGUGCCUUGCGGUGAGUUUAAUAGCCACUGCUCAGGAGUAAUUGGGGUGAUUAUUAUACGGCCUGGAGGAAGCAUCUUGGCUCGUUAUCUCCGGGGAGUUAGCUACAGGAUGCAAAAAAGAUAAUCAGAGGCUUAUUUGCGCUGCUUUGUGUAAUGGUUUUAAUGAGAUUUGUAGUGUCUGAGAGAUCAGACCUCACUUCUUCACCCCAGAUUGAGGCAUCUUUGGGCAUGGGAAUCUAGCUAUCAUCCCCCGUUGGGAAUUAGAGUGGGAAAUUGCACUCUUUAUAGCAAUCUUGUUGUGUGUUACUCUACGGCCUGUUGUCCUUUCCUUCCACUUUCUUUCCCUGUAGAAGCUCGGGUCCCCUUAGUUUGCUUUUAUCCCUGCUCUCACUUGUGCCUUCAAGACUUCUGCCAUGCCAACUGGCUGUAUGGGCACCAGCAUCAUGAUCUCUUUUUUUUCCUUUUACAAUCAACAUUUUAAAUCAUCAUAUUUACACUCCGUGUCCUCACGCCUCGACUUCCUUCCUUCCCUGCUUCGGUUUUCUUGAGAUAUAUCCCCUCCUGUAGAUUCUUAUUCCCCUUCUAUGCACAUCACAGGAAUUAUGUUAACCCUGCCAUAGUUUUUAAGCUUCUACAGUUUGUUCUUAUAUGUGCCAAUAAUUUACCCCAUUCUUCAUCAAACUUUGUCCCCUUUUGGUCUCUUAUUCUGUAUGUCAUUUUAGCUAAUUCUGUAUAUUCAAAAAAUUUAGCCUGCCAUUCCAUUACUGUGGGAGUCUCCUGUAGUUUCCAUUUUUGAGCCACGAGUAUUCUCACUGCUGCAGUAGCAUAUUGAAAUAAUUUAUGAUCUUCCUUUUUUACUUCCUUCCCUAUUAUCCCUAAUAAAAAGAUUUCGGGGUUUUUAGGAAACGUAUACUUGAGAAGUUUUUUUAAUUCAUUAUAUAUUGAAUCCCAGGGACGCGGGUGGCGCUGUGGGUAAAACCUCAGUGCCUAGGACUUGCCGAUCGUAUGGUUGGCGGUUCGAAUCCCCACGGUGGGGUGAGCUCCCGUCGUCCGGUCCCAGCUCCUGCCCACCUAGCAGUUCGAAAGCACCCCUAAGUGCAAGUAGAUAAAUAGGUACCGCUUUAUAGCGGGAAGGUAAACGGCGUUUCCGUGCACUGCGCUGGUGCUGGCUCGCCAGAGCAGCUUCGUCACGCUGGCCACGUGACCCGGAAGUGUCUUCGGACAGCGCCGGCUCCCGGCCUCUUGAGCGAGAUGAACGCGCAACCCUAGAGUCGGUCACGACUGGCCCGUACGGGCAGGGGUACCUUUACCUAUAUUGAAUCCCCAAUUUUUUUCAUCUUUUCGCACUCCCACCACAUGUGAUAGAGAUUCCCCUCUUUGGAUUUACAUUUCCAGCAGGCUUUAUUAUUCAAUUUAUACAUUUUGGCCAAUUUGACCGGGGUAAUAUACCACCGGUAUACCAUUUUUUCUAGAUUUUCUCUUAAGGUGGAGCAUGAUCUCUUUUUUUUAAUCAGAUCGUUGAGUUUAAAAUAUAUAUCUCAUCUCAUAUGUUGUUGGACACCAAACUCCCAUCAGCCUCAGCUAGCAUAGCCAGUAGUCAGGGAUGAUGGGCGUUGCAGUCCGGGAGCACCUAGAAGGCCACAGGUUCCCUGCCUCUGCCAUGAGACAGUCCCACACCCUGCGACAUUCCUCAGAUGAAAAUAGGGAUGUUUCUCACGCCCCAUCCAACUGACCCUCCUUGACCCCUCAUUCCCCCACCCUGUAAUAAAUGGAAAUCUGCCCUUAUUCCCUUAUGGGGGUACACAAGAGCCCUUGUAGAAUCCUUUGCAGGUUCUCCAUCAGUCAGAGAAAAUAACAGAGGCCAACCAGAGAAUACUGAGAAGCAAAGCAGCUAGUAAGCCUGAUCUUUAUUGUUGCAACUGGGUGCCCCCUACACACACACGCAGGAGAAGGAGGAAGACCUUGAACAAAGGUGUGCCCACCAUAAUAUAGACAUUUUAAAUUGCCUACCCUGGAGUUCAAGACCACCCCCAGAAACAUCAUAUAUGCAUCACAGAAGGGGCGUAGCUCAAGACCACCCCCCAGACACAUCAUACCUACAUCACAGAAAGGGUGGUCUACAACAGAAAUCUGAGUGCGUUGUUUAUCUCCUGUUGUUGUUUAUCUCCUGUCUGGCAGGUUACCCGUUUAAUGGUCACUUGAUUAGAUUGCCUGGGGAGCCUGGCCAGUCUUUUGUAAUGAUAAAUACUUAGUUACUGAGCCAGGUCACAGGCUCACACCCUAUUCAUAUCUUAAAUGUGCCCUUAAGACAGGAUUUGUGAGGAAAGAGACAAUGGGGGGGGGUUCCGACUUUGACUUUGGAGAGAAAUAUUUGAGGUCAAUUUGUUCAGGACUUUUUUUCUGUGGGGUUUCAGACAUGUGGUUUAUAUAUUUAUGUACAUGUUUGCUUGGUACAUUUAUGAACACUUAUUGCAUAUCUAAGACCUUAAAGGGGCACGGGUGGCACUGUGGGUUAAACCACAGAGCCUAGGACUUGCCAAUCAGAAGGUCAGCAGUUCGAAUCCCCGUGACGGGAUGAGUUCCCGUUGCUCGGUCCCUGCUCCUGCCAACCUAGCAGUUCGAAAGCACGUCAAAGUGCAAGUAGAUAAAUAGGUACCGCUCUGGCGGGAAGGUAAACGGCGUUUCCGUGCGCUGCUCUGGUUCGCCAGAAGCGGCUUAGUCAUGCUGGCCACAUGACCCGGAAGCUGUACGCCGGCUUCCUCGGCCAAUAAAGCGAGAUGAGCGCCGCAACCCCAGAGUCAGUCACGACUGGACCUAACGGUCAGGGGUCCCUUUACCUUAAGAUCUUAAAAUUCUUAUAACAACCCCACCCCUGCAGAACAGUUCCUAUCAGGAGAAGAGCAAGUGUCAAUGCCACUUUGCCAACAGGACACAGGACACAUGCCCUCCACCGCCCUGAGAAAACCCCUCAGUCCUGAUUUUAUUUCAUUUUAUUCCCCCUUUCUUCCUGCCCUCUGCCUGCCCCUCAGAGCCAGUGCAUCACAAAAGGCUGGGCCUUGGCAGUAGAAUCCUUGUCUCCUCCCCACCUGCCAAAGCAGGAAGGUCGUAGUACGACUCAUGCAACACGUUGGCGACUAAUAUGCACACAAUAAUUACCAAAAGGAUUAUACAUUCUUCAUCAAUCUCCUGAGGAAAUUACAAAACCUUAUGCAAAGCCAUAGAGACUUGCGAACUACCCAACCUAAGAUGAACUUCCAAUGUCUGAUUUCAAUAGAUUUUUCAAGUGCUCAACUCAGUCUUUUGUUUUCUUUAUCUUUUUAGGUAAGUUCAUGACGAUACCAACAAAAGGUAAGUUCGGUGUUGUUCACAAUACCGAGAGAUGCUAGUGAGACAGGGUGCCAGCGUUUUGCACCUGUUUCGCCCUGGCAGUCCAAGAAAUCAAGAGGCCGCUGUUUGCCCCCAAUGGGGCCUUUUACUGGGGCUUGCUGGUAGCACACUCCCAAGGUGGUGUCCCGGGCUUCUUCAGUGGUCUAAUCUCAAAGUCUUGAUACGUAUAUUGAUACGUAUCAAGUUUCAUAGAGAAUACUAUUUCUUGGUUUAAGCUUAAGAGACUGAUUUGCUUAACAGGGAGGUCGCCAGCAGCGGCCAUGGAGAAGCCAUGGAGAGGCAACGAGAUGCUCCAUUGCCGCCGCCACUUGUGUUAUGUACUGCAGUUCUCACCCUGGGCCAGCAGGGGGAUACUGUAGACAGUUUUCACUCGGGUCCACAUAUGCAAAUAAGGGAUUGAAAGUGACGUUCAGUGAUUGGAUAUUUACAGAAAGUGGUUACUGUUGCGUUGUAGUGGAGCCCUAUAUAAUCAGGCUGGCUGAACCCUUCAGUUCAGUUCUGUUCUGGCCUGUGAAUAAACAAGAGCUGUUUGAAGAAUCGCUGUGUCGUCUGAUAUGUUCACCUACAAUUUAACAACUUGGAACACAAGCUCCAGUUCACCCUCCUCCCCGAGCUCAGCAGGAACAGCACUGGCAGGGGAAAUGGGGAUAUCCUGGGAUCAAAUCAGAAGCCAGGAUGGCUUUCGUAAUUCUGGGACUGUCCCUGGAAAACCGGGACGCUUGGAGGGUAUGCAAUUCUUCUUUGAGGUGUCGCACAAUAAGAGUCUUUGUGCCUCUAUGACACACUGGGCAAUAGAUAUAGGACAUAAUAUAGAUUUUAAUUUCUAGGAAAAACUUUGGAAGAGCGAGCUGAAGUUUACAGCAUGUUAUUCCUCGAAGGAGAACAACCUGAAAAUGAUUUGCAGAUGCUAUCUAACUCUGAGUAGACUUGUUAAGAUGGAAAAGACUGAAUCAGAUAAGUGCUGGAUAUGCAAUGAAACUGAUGGUACGUUCUAUCAUGUGUGGUAGACCUGUAAAAGGGUAAAAGAGUAUUGGGAAAUAACUCAUAAUGAAUUGAAAAAGAAUGUUUAAAAACACUUUUCAAAAACACACACACACAAAACCAGAGUCCUUUUUGUUGGGGAUAAUUCAAACAGAAAUUUCCAGAUGUCAGAAAAGGUUAUUUAUGUAUGCCACUAAUGCGGCUCAAGUUUUGUUAGCCCCAAAAUGGAAAAUGAGUCCCAUCUAAAGAAGAAUGGCAACUUAAACUGCUGGAAUAGACGCAGCUUACGGACCUAACAUAUAGAAUAAGAGAACAAGAAGAACAUACGUUUAAAGAAGAUUGGGAAAUGUUUAUUGACUAUUCGGGGGGGAAUUGUGUCCAUUCAAAAACAUGGGCAGCAUUAAGGUAAAUUCAACAGUGUAAAUAAGUUUUUGAUGGAUGUAAUCAUGGAAUACUGAAUGGUUUAGUUUAUAGAAAACAUGCAGGGAUUUAUAUUAUGCAAAAUGAACCACAGAAAGGGAAGAAGGGAAGUCACUGGUAUUUUUAGGUUGUUUAAAUGAAUAUUCCAAAACGGAAAACAGAAAAUUUAAUAAGAAUUAUAGAAAACAACAACAAUAAGAGUCUUUGUUUUCCACAACAGCCUACUGUGACUACCUUUGUAGAUCAAGAAGGGCUCAGUGCUGGAUGACUCUUCCAGCUGAGCUAUUUCCCUUCCAGACAGAGGACGGUACCCGCUUCUUCUGAGCCGCAAGUGAGAAGCGCUUUAUUGGAUGUCUGGAAGCUUAACCCAAGGGGCUAUUAGAAAGGCUUGUGCUUAGGCAGAGGUGAGGAAAAUCCUGUGUUAAUGAGCCCCAAUGCUGCUUAGCCAGGAGCCACCCGACCGAGGACCGCAGCGACAGGCCCAGCGCAGCCAAGCGAGCAUCCCAGCCUGCGCUAAUCCCCAUAGAUCUAGGAAGGUUUUCUCUUUUUUUAAGAGCCAGUUUUGACUUGAUUCCGUGCCGAUGUUUAUAAUCAUUCGAGUGCUCCGCGGGAAGAGGCAAAUCCCUUUUGCUGGUUUCAUGCUUGGCCAGUAACAUGCCAGGACCGCAGCGUCAGUGUGAGUGGAUGGGUGGUGAAGUUGCGCGGUUAUUUUAUCUGGAAUGAGCCUGCUCCCCUCGAAAAGAGGAGGGGGGAACCCCUUUACUGUGGUUCAGUCAACAUCUGGAACAAUCCUGUGUCAGAUCCAGGCACUGUUGCAGUCCCGUCCCCCCCCCCCCCCCAGAGCAGGAACUUUUAAGUGUAAAUUGGUACAUAUCCAUCCUCGGCUAAGGAACAGAUGCGUCCCCCCCCCUUCGCCAGCCAACCUGUGGGUGGGUGGUGGCAGAUGCAGAAUUAAUUCAAUGGAUCAGUUCCAUGCAUGCAUGCAAACCAUAAUUGCCUAUUAUUCAUCAUCUCAAAUCUCAUUUGUUUUCCCUGGACUUUACCAGGUAACCAGGUAACCACCUCUUUAAAAUGAAGAAGGAGAAGGAGAAGGAGAAGGAGAAGAAAAAGGAGGAGGAGGAGGAGGAGGAGGAGGAGGAGGAGGAACCCUUCCUGCUUCCCCCUGGUUAGAGUUAGGGUCGCACAAACCCCCAGGUCAGUGCCUGGGUAGUGAGGGUAGAUUUGCUUCAGCAGGAGAACAGCCUGUUUUGACACCUUCAGGUUGUCCUUGUUUGGGAGUCAUCCACAUUAGCUCAGUUGGCAGAGCAUGAGUCUCUUAAUCUCAGGUUUGUGGGUUCAAGCCCCACAUUGGGCAAAAGAUUCCUGCAUUGCAGCGGGUUGGACUAGAUGACCCAUGGGGUCCUUUCCAACACUACAAUUUGAUGGUUCUGUGAUCUCAGGCAAUAGCAAUUGGAUCACUUUGAACAACACUUUCUUUCCCCCCUUUUCUUUCUUUCUUGCAAAUUAAAGCAGUUGUCUGGAAAAGUCCCGAAUGAAAACAAAACACAGAGGCCUGGCACAUAUGGUUAAUCAAAGCCAAUUAAAAACGGGAGUCGGCCGGAGGAUCUAAUAAGACAUGUUUUGCCAAUGUGUUCCAACGAAGCAUGUAGCCACUUUCCCUGUCGUUGCAUCACAGCCAGUCAGGGACUAAUCUCAUUGUGUGUCAACUAUUAAAGAUAAUUAUUAUUGUAUUGCUUGCUAUUAUACUAAAUACCAUUGCAUGCAAUAUAGCUUCAAACAUUUAGGCAUUGUGACAGCUGUCUACUGCUGCUUGGAGUAGUGAGCUGGGUGAAGACCCUCCAAGAAUCCCUAUUUUCCAGGGACAGUCCCAAUCUUACAGAAGCCAUCCUGGUUUCUGAUUUGAUCCCACAAUGCCCUGCUUUUCCUUAAAGGUAAAGGGACCCCUGACCAUUAGGUACAGUCAUGGCAGACUCUGGGGUUGCGGCGCUCAUCUCGCUUUAUUGGCCGAGGGAGCUGGCGUACAGCUUCCAGGUCAUGUGGCCAGCAUGACUAAGCCACUUCUGGCGAACCAGAGCAGCGCACGGAAACGCCGUUUACCUUCUCGCUGGAGCGGUACCUAUUUAUCUACUUGCACUGGUGUGCUUUUGAACUGCUAGGUUGGCAGGAGCAGGGACCGAGCAACGGGCGCUCACCCCAUCGCGGGGAUUCAAACCGCCGACCUUCUGAUCGGCAAGUCCUAGGCUCUGUGGUUUAACCCACAGCGCCAUCCGCGUCCCUCUGCUUUUCCUUAGGAUGUCUCUAUUUUCAUUGGAAAAAUGUUGGAGGGUAUGCAGGUGGGGAGGGGAGAAUUAAAAAGAGGUGCCAUGCAAGGCCCUGGGAGCUAUCGAAAGAUGGCAGGUCCUGAUUCUGACCAUGCACUCUCCCCUGUAGCAGGACCCCCCCCCCCCAAUCAUUCAGUUUGUACAAACUUCACACACACUCACACUCACACACUACAUAUGCUACACUUCUGUUUUAAAUUCAUAGAAAAUCAACCAUACAUCGGAUUUGCACUGUUCCACUUUUAUUUUACUCCAUGAAGGAAGGACUACAAAAUGGGGAAGGUUUGAUACAGGGCAGCCAUAAUCCCUUCAGCAUACCAGCACAUCCACAGGAGCCCUGCCCAGUUGCUAUGCCAACCCUGAUGGUCCUAGACAGAAGACCAUCAAGAUCACAAAGAACUUGCAUAUGGGAGUGGAUUCAGCACAGACUGGAACAAAGGACAAUAAUCAGCUCUUCCCUCUGGGGGCAGGAAACUGCAAACUCCCCUCUGUCACCUGGAAAGUACUCAUGGGGACGGGGAAAGGGGGGAACCAGCCAGGUGACAGGACACUCAGGUUACCACCACAACUCCUCCCUCAACCCCUCCUUUCUGUGAUGUAUGUAUGAUGUUUCUGGGGGUGGUCUUGAUCUAUAGGAUGGGAAUUUCAAAAGUCUUUAUAAGACCUUACACACCAUUUUUUCUGUGUCUUUCCUCUCUCCUGCAAGUGAGGGGAGCACCCUGUUGCAACAGUUCAAUAAAGGCCAAGCCUACAGGCUGCUGUUUUGCUCCAAGUUAUCCUGGUUGGUGUCUUUGUUUUUGUCCAAGGGAGCCCUCGGAUUUUUCCGUUAACACCCCCAACACAUGUGCACAUUCAAAGCCCUAAACGGCCUCGGCCCAGUAUACCUGAAGGAGCGUCUCCACCCAC